rnacentral:pre_miRNA from 1 species
UGUAAACAUCCUACACUCUCAGCUGUGACUAGUGGAAAAGCUGAGAGGAAGGUGUUUGCUCU